ACCAGACUCCUACGGGAGGCAGCAGUGGGGAAUAUUGCACAAUGGGGGGAACCCUGAUGCAGCGACGCCGCGUGAGUGAAGAAGUAUUUCGGUAUGUAAAGCUCUAUCAGCAGGGAAGAUAAUGACGGUACCUGACUAAGAAGCCCCGGCUAACUACGUGCCAGCAGCCGCGGUAAUACGUAGGGGGCAAGCGUUAUCCGGAUUUACUGGGUGUAAAGGGUGCGUAGGUGGCAGGGCAAGUCAGAUGUGAAAGCCCGGGGCCCAACCCCGGUACUGCAUUUGAAACUGUCCGGCUGGAGUGCAGGAGAGGUAAGCGGAAUUCCUAGUGUAGCGGUGAAAUGCGUAGAUAUUAGGAGGAACACCAGCGGCGAAGGCGGCUUACUGGACUGUAACUGACACUGAGGCACGAAAGCGUGGGGAGCAAACAGGAUUAGAUACCCUGGUA
rnacentral:rRNA from 1 species